UUUAUAUUUUUUCCCUCUAUGAUCACUUGCCAAUUCCAAUUCCCCCUCCCUACAUAUCUCUUCCGAUUCUUCCUCUUCAACUUCAACUAGAACACCAUGAAAUAGUUCAACUUACCCUUACAAAUUAAUAUCUCCUCUGACUCUUCGUCUUCCGCUAGAAUUAGAUCACUAUCAGAGGAUCGACUUUAAUCUCUCCUCCGACUCUUUCACUCGUUUCUGGUUCAUAGAUUUAGGUUGUGGUGGUCAAACAAGUCAUGAUUUUGGUCGAUUAAGACAGGGGCGUUGUGGUCGAACAAGUCAAAUAGGGUGAAGACGCUGAGGAAAGAUCGAACCAGAGUUAUCAAACAUUCUGGACUUGCGCAUGUUCUGCAAAUCCUCUGAAUGUUUAUUUCAAUUACAGGAAUGCAUGGUGGGAAGAAGACUGAACAAGGAAAUUGGGCAUUCUAUUGAACAAAGUAUAGAAGGUCAUCAGCAUUGUUUCAAAAGGCACUGAGUUAUGGGCGUUAAGGCGAGGUGGGGCCAAAUUGCCUUGCCUCAGUGGUCUCACAUGUGUUACAUGAGACUUAUGCCUCAAAUUUCAAGAACAGUAUGCUUCAUCUGGUCAACUUGAGAAAAAGUAAAAAAAAAGACAUUUUAGUUGGUAGAGAACAUGGUCUAAGACUAAGAGUAAAGAAUACAGUGGGAGUUGGGACAACUACAAACAUAUAGGGUGAGAAGAAGAUUAUAAAAAAUAGAUGUUAGCAUUUCUGUAGUAGCUGUCACCUCCUUUUCCUUUUAUCUUUUUCUUCUUCCUACAGAUCCUCUUGUUUGAGCCCUAAAGAUAUUGGAAUUUUCUUGAUUUUCUUUUAUUGUAGCUUUAGGCCUAAAUUGAAAGUAUUUGGGUUGCAAAAGGUAUAUAUCAUGUGUGAGGUGGAAGUACCAUGGUUCUUGUAUGCUUUACUCAUAAUUUUAGUAAAUGUUGUAUAAUUAAAAAAAGGACUAAACUCUUAGAAGGUCAAGGUAUAUAUCAUUUGAUUUUUGGGUAGGCGCAUUCUACUUUAAUAAAGGAUGUACCUCCUUCAGAUUGUCUCAAUCUCAACACUACUAGAAGACAAGGUGCUUUGGAAGGGAACAAGAUACUCCUAGUUUUCUGUACAAUUUGCUUAUCAGACAUUUGUUGCUAUGUACAACCCUUCACCAUCACUGAGAAUCUGAAAGUUACAAAUUCCUUACAGAUUUCAAAUUUUCCUAUGGAAGGCCUGUUGGGGGGGGGGGUACUAUGUGGACAAGAAAGGCUCUCACUCUAAGGAUGUUCUUUGUGUACUAUUGAUGUGGACGCUUUUAUUGGGAAGACAUAUCACUGCCGACAGCAGCAGUAAAGGGAGCAAGAUUUGCUGAUUCUCAUCUUAUCUAAUUCU